rnacentral:rRNA from 1 species
AGAAUCAACGCUGGCGGCGUGCCUCAGACAUGCAAGUCGAACGAUUAAAGCUCUCUUCGGAGAGUGUAUAGAGUGGCGCACGGGUGAGUAACACGUAAGUAAUCUACCUUUGAGUGGGGAAUAACAGUCGGAAACGGCUGCUAAUACCGCAUAAUGCAGCGGCAUCGCAAGAUGACAGUUGUUAAAGGAGCAAUCCGCUUAAAGAGGAGCUUGCGGCAGAUUAGCUUGUUGGUAAGGUAACGGCUUACCAAGGCUACGAUCUGUAUCCGGUCUAAGAGGACGGUCGGACACACUGACACUGAAUAACGGGUCAGACUCCUACGGGAGCAGCGGUCGGAAUUUUGGGCAAGUGGGCGAAAGCCUGACCCAGCAACGCCGCGUGAAGGAUGAAGUAUUUCGAUGUAAACUUCGAAAGAUAGGAAGAAUAAAUGAACGGUACUAAUUUAUAAGCUCCGGACUAACUACGUGCCAGUCAGCCGACGGUAAUCGUGAGGCGGCUGGACG